rnacentral:misc_RNA from 1 species
UGGUGCACUAGCCGAGAA